CGCCCGCCGCUGGGUGCGCUGCACGCGGUAGGCAGCCGCGGUGCAGAGGUUCAUGCAGCGGCGGCGGCGGCGGCGGCUGCUACUGCUGCCGCCGCGGAGGCAGACAGACCGGGCGCUGCCGCCGCCGCCCUCCCCCGGCUCCAUGCCGCCGCCGCUGCCGCCUCCUCCUCUCCGGCGAGGGGCGGGGGGCUCCGGCCCGGGGUGGGCACCACUCCUCGCAGCGCCGCUCCCCUCCCUGCCCUCCGCCCGGGCGCUGGAGCCGGCGAGGGCACCCUUCGCCUCCUAGGAGUGCACCUCCGCGCGCCCUGCCGGAGCGAGGGGGCGGGCGUGGGCGGGCGUCGGGGCAGCGGAGACCCCGCGCGGCUGCAAGAGGAGGGGGCUUCCCCAAGGAUGCCCGGCAGCUCCCGGUUCCUAGGUGCGAGCUGAGUCUGACCGGGAGCGAGCGGCGCGUCGCCAUGCCGGCGUGACGCGCCCCCAGCUGCCCGCGCGGGCCCCCGCGCUGCCCCACGCCGCGCCGUGCCGGCGCCGGGCUGCAGGAUGGGCUGUAUCCAAAGCAUCACCUGCAAGGCGCGGAUCCGGCGCGAGAACAUCGUGGUGUACGAUGUGUGCGCCACCAUCGACCAGUGCCCCACGCGCAUUGAAGAGACCUCGCCCAUCGUCCUGCGCUACAAGACCCCGUACUUCAAAGCCUCGGCCCGCGUGGUCAUGCCCCCCAUCCCCCGCCACGAGACCUGGGUGGUGGGCUGGAUUCAGGCGUGCAACCAGAUGGAGUUCUUCAACACCUACAGCGACCUGGGCAUGUCAAGCUGGGAACUGCCUGACUUGAGGGAAGGGAGAGUAAAAGCCAUCAGUGACUCAGAUGGGGUGAGCUACCCUUGGUACGGGAACACCACAGAAACUGUGACCCUGGUUGGCCCCACCAACAAGAUCUCCAGGUUCUCCGUCAGCAUGAAUGACAACUUCUACCCCAGUGUGACAUGGGCAGUGCCUGUGAGCGACAGCAAUGUGCCGCUGCUCACAAGAAUCAAGAGAGACCAAAGUUUCACGACCUGGCUGGUGGCCAUGAACACCACCACAAAGGAGAAGAUCAUUCUGCAGACCAUCAAGUGGAGGAUGAGGGUGGACAUUGAGGUGGACCCUCUUCAGCUCUUGGGGCAGCGGGCCCGGCUGGUGGGCAGGACUCAGCAGGAGCAGCCCCGGAUCCUGAGCCGGAUGGAACCCAUCCCCCCUAAUGCACUAGUGAAACCCAAUGCCAAUGAUGCCCAGGUCCUCAUGUGGAGGCCCAAGCGGGGGCCACCUCUGGUUGUGAUCCCUCCUAAGUAGAAGCAGACUGGCCUGACUGUGUGUGGAUCACAUGCCUCUGAGACCUGCAGUGAGGGUGCCAGGGGUGGACAGGAGCCAAACUGAGUUUCUGAGCCAAAGUAGACCUCUUGGUUUGCCAGCCUUUGCAGCCACUUUUGAAGAGUAGGGCUGCUCCUUGGGUGGUAGAACCAUAAUCCUUAGGAAAAAUCCCUUCCUCUUAGGAAUAAAGAAAUCACUGAUUUGACAGACUUGCUGUGAUUACCAUGCAAGUAGCCAUAUUUUGGAGCUGACCAGGAUGAUUCUUUUAUCUGAACUAUUGACCAUUUCUUUCCUGUGAGAUGCAGGGGAUGGAAACAAAAUUAAACAGUGCCAGUGGCAAAUGCUGCUUCCCAACCAAUAAGAAGUAGGAGUGAAAACAUCCACACCAGGUGGUCUCCUAGUAGGACAAGGAAAGCCCAGCAAGCACAACCACAUGGCAGAGACUGAGAAGGAGGAAGUGAGCAAUGGCUGGCGGCUCCAGAAGCUGAAUCCCUGGACAGCUGAUUUCCCAUUAAAACGUGUACCAUCCUGCCUACCUCCUCGCCUUCCUCCCAUCCCAUGACCAGUCCCUCCUACCCACCCUCCAUGAGCCAUGCAGCACUUGCCCUGGGCUGACUGGGCUGCCUGCUUGGCCCACGGGGAGCUAUGUUGAAGUGGGAGUUGUGCCUGCUGUAUCUUUUUGUGUGUGGAAAGAUGGGGUUCAUUCAGAUCCCAAGUCCUUUCACCAACCCUCAAAGCGAAGCCUCCCAGGAAUGAAGAGCUGGUCAGCCUGGGACUUUAAAUACCUAACGUGGCCCAGCCUUGGUUCCCAAACCCUGCCUUCCCUCCUUUUGCUUUUGGGUGGGAAACGGAGUAUUUGUAUCUCCCUUCCUCCUCCUUCUCUUUGUGGGUGACCUCUCUAGGUUUCUCUAAGUUCUCUGACCCUCGGAGAGCCAGGGCCAAGGCAGUCAUCUUGUUCCCCCUUCCACGGCCAGGCUGGGUGCCUUCAGGUGACCAGGGGCAGAGUGUAAGUCACCAGGAUCAGUGGGGUGAGGGGAAAACCACCUUAAGAUGGCAGAAAUGGUGUGCAUUGGUUUAUUUAUUGGUUUAUUUAUUGGCUUGCUUACUAAUGUAUUUAUUUAUAUUUAUUAUACAACACAACAUCCAUUUCCAUUUUUUAAACAUCAGUCCCAGAAUUUAUCUUCCUGGGCCCAUAGAGCACAGUGAAUUAUUUCUCUUUGAAGCUUCAGAAUAGAGAGGGAAAUUUUUCUCCCUACGCCCAAAAACACCUCCACCUCAGCCACGUUUCCAACCAGACAUGGGAUUAGAAAUCACCAGCUAACAAGGCUGUAAAGUCACACAAAUCAGCAGAGGCUUGACUGUCCAGACAGCUCUCAGAAUCCGGCCUCCACCCCAACCACCUUGCACCAAUCCUCUCAUUCUCCUUUACUCGGGUGGGGAUUGACCAGCCACCUUCAGCCUAACAGUGCAGAGCAAAACUUCUCAUUCCGCUCUGAUGUAGUAUUCUAACAUCAGAUGCACAUUAGCAUCGUCUAAGGGCUUAAAAAAUAUCCAGGCCUGGUCCCCUGCCCAAACCAAUUACAGCAUCGAAGGGUAGAUCCUGGGCAUUGGAGUUUUGUAAGUUACCCAGAUGACUCUAAUGUGAAAAUAGGGUUGGAAAGUUCUAGUAUCACCUCUCCCUUGCCCCUCCCCACCCAGAUUCUUUCAUCUUUACUUCCCAGGCUUUCUCCAGAGUCCUCUUCCCAUUCCUCUAGCCCCUUCUCCUCACUGAACCUUUCCCCCAUCAGCUCAGCCAACGAUAGCAGAUCCCUGGAGAGGGGACAGGUCCCAUGAGUGGUACUCUGAGGCUGGUUCCUGCAUCUAGCCUGGGGGCUGCUCCCAAACAGUUUCCAGCUUUUCUAGAAACAGAAACCUAUCCCCUGCAAGAUUCUCUGUUCACCAGCGCCUUCUCCAGGUUCCCAAACUCCAAAAGUUUAAAGGGCACUUUGGCGACAUUUCUGUCUCCAAGCCCCAAUCUUGGUGGUGUGGCCCAUGUAAGUCUUAAAACCCAAGCCUUGGCCAUUUCUGCAGAGCCAACUGAGUUGAAUGAGGGUCUACUGUUAACAGAGAAAGGGGUCAUAGUGCUCCCCCAGCAAGUCCUUUUUCCAGCAACCAACCUCAGCUAUCUAGGAUUUGGAUGCACAACGCAGCAGCCACUGUGCAUUCAAGUCCUAGAUGGCUGAGAAGAGGCAUCUCACCCUUCACAUCUACAAGAUCUCCACUGCUGAGUAUGAGUAAAUGUGUGUGUGUGUGUGUGUGUGUAUACACGUAUGUUUGCACACACUAUCUGCAUACAAACCAUCUAGAUACAUAGAGAUGCCAGACUUCACUUUACAUGUGAUUACAUUUUACAUGAAAACAAUUGAGGGCUUCCGUUGUCUUUCACUUGAUGGAGUUUCACUGUACUAUGUUCAUGACGGGCCCCAGUGAAUUCCAUUUCAGGUAUAUACACAGAAUGUAUAAUAUAUACAAACUCUUAGACACACUACACACACACAGAAAGCCUAGGGAAACCUGUGAUGUGGGUAAGUUCAUUUCGCCAUCCCAUCUCCUCCAUCUAAGUAAUUUCCUGGGGCAAGCAUUGUUUCACACACUCCCCUCAGUUGCCCAGCCAUUCCCUCUCCAGCGUCCCAUACCACCAAGCCGCCUUUCCCCAUCAGUCCAAAUGUCCCUGCCCUCUGUCCCAUCUCUCAGGGUCCUACUCUCUGAUAGGUGACAGUUCAGUCAGUGGGUGCUAGAGUCGAGUGUUACCCUUCCCAGGUGACAUUUAUGUUUUAAUAGGGGCUACAGAUAAUGCCUUAAUCAGAAAGAGUGGCUGUAAUGGUGGGAAUUUCAGGCACAGAAGUGGGCCAGUAAGGGAGAUUCUUUUAUAUCAGGAGGGCAUUUUAAAGCCCCCAAGUCAUACCUGUCUGUAAGCGCAGCCCUUCAUAAGUGCAUGAGCACAAGCAAGCACACUUAUCUACGUUAUACCCUCCAUAAUUUUGAGAUACCUUCCUUGCAUUGGCCCUAUCUUUAAAAAUGAAAAAAAAAAAAAAAAAAAAAAAAAAAACCAGGGAACUAGCUAAAUCAAUUUAGAUCUCACUGGGAAACGUAGCCUAUUUUUUCACCGGCUGCCAGCCAUCUGGCCCACCCCACCCUGUUCAAUUUCCCUUCUGCUCUUUCUCUUUUCAGCUACGACCGACUGUAUCAGUUAAUUUACUUGUACGUGUCCUCCCUGCUCUCUCCUUACCCUGCUCCCCUACACCAUGUAUUUCCUUCCUUUACCGUUUCCUCCUUAGAACUAUGCUGUGUUUCGUUGUCCUGGAGGACAGAAGAGCAGGUUAAGGCAUGAGCAUGUGUGUAUCACUUUGAAGAAAGAGAAACCAGGUAUUCUGCUACAGUUUGGAGAAAAACCCAGCGAAGGAAGAGAUGAAAGCUGGCUCUGCAGAGUGCCUUAAAAAUGACUUUAAUUAGGAAAUUCUGAGUUGUCGGUCUUCAGAUGUUACAUAAACUCAAACAGAUGUUGCAUUUCACUUCUCUGGGAUUAAAAAAAAAGUUAAAUACAGUGUGUAUUCAACAACAACAACAAAA